CAAAGGUAGCAUAAUCAUUAGAGGUUUAAUUGGAAUCUGGUAUGAAGGGUUGGACAAAGGAAAAACUGUCUUAAAUAUAAAAUUUGAAAUUUACUUUUAGGUGAAAAGGCCUAAAUAUUUCAAAGGGACGAUAAGACCCUAUAAAGCUUUAUAAAUAAUUUAAGUUUAGUUGAUUUAAAAUUUUAAGGGCUAAGGUUAAUUAUUUUAUUUCAUUGGGGUGAUGCGAGUAUAAAUGUUGUUAACUGCUUGGUUUUAAAUUCUGUUGUAGAAGAAUUACACACAUAUAUGAUCCUUUUUAAAGAUUAAAAGACUAAGUUACUUUAGGGAUAACAGCGUUAUUUCUUUUGAGAGUUCAUAUCGAAAAAGAAGAUUGCGACCUCGAUGUUGAAUUAAAAUGUCUAUAUAAUGCAGUCGUUAUAAAAGAGGGUCUGUUCGACCUUUAAAUUUUUACAUGAUUUGAGUU
rnacentral:rRNA from 1 species